UAUUGAUUAACUGUCAUGGAAUUUUGUUUUAUCUAUCAUACGGAACAUAUUUUCUGGUAAUUGAAUGUGGAAAUUGGUUUGUUUCAUGGUGGUAGAAGAAUGAUCGUUGAUGAAAGAAGGAUAAGAUGUCGACCACGUUCUUGUAUCAAUCUUGCUAUGGCAAUUUAUCCUCACACGUACGUUUAUCUAUUCAAUGGAUCAAUUUAGCAGUAGACGCUUCGUUUCCAAGCUUUUUAUGGAAAAGAACAAAAAGUCCACAUGCUAUAGCAUCAUCGAAGGUUCGAGAGAUUGAUAUCUACAAUAACGAUAGUAGGAAGCGUAAACCAAAGCAUUGGCUUAUUUGAAAUUUUUAUUUGGCGAUAAAUUGAACGAUUGGAACUAAAAAGUGAUUAAAUUUAUUGUCAGGUUUUUCAUUAACUAAUUAUUUAUCAUAUUAUGAAUAAAAGUUCGAUCACUGAAUACGUAAGUCAUCGUUAUAAUAUCUAUAGCAUUAAACGCUGAGAAAAUUUUCAUCAGCGAAUUCGACAAUUAUUUUUUUCGAAUUAAAAGAAGUAAGCGAAUAGAUGAUUGCCGGAUUGUAUUCUCAAAUGUUUGAAGGAAGUAUGAAUUAAAGAGUCAGCUGAAGGUUCAAUUUAACGUGUAUGAUUUGUCCAGUCGUUAGGAACAAAAUAAGAAUUAGUUUUAUUAACAUUUGAACCUUUUUAACAUUUAAUAAAAUAAAAGUUGUUAUCAACCAGAAGCUUAAAAUCGCAUUUCUUCAAUAUCUAUCGACUUAAAAUGAAGAAAAUGAUACGACUCUGAUUUCAAAUGAUUUGCCUCUCGGCUCUUUUUGCUAUUUAAGAUUUUUCAGGUGGUUGUCAUUCCCUUGGGAGUUAGACUAAAGAAAAAUGAAUUGAUUAUGAUCAGGACCAAUAUUGACCAGAUCUGAUGUUUUUUGAAAAGGUCAUUAGAUUUUAUAAUAAUCCUAGUGGACACUUUUCGUUUGAACACUCUGUGUAUGUAUUUAGGUUACAUAGGAUGACCGAUAUCUUUCCAUUUUUAUCAUUUUAUUUUUCUUCUUGUUUUUGUGUCCUUAUGUAUGAUCUUUUUCUGUUAUUAAAAGUAUUUUAUUUUAACGAUUAGUAAAUACAAUAUAUAAUGUAUAACGCGUCGAUAGAAUUAUUAAAAUGAGAUAAAUUAGUCGUCCUGGAUGUUUAUGAUUUGCAAUAGUUUUGUUGUGCAAUUCGUCUUCACACCGAUUUUUGAGAGAAAGGAAAAGGAUGCGUAAGAUAACAAUAUUAUUAUAAUAGUAAGUAGACAAGGAUUCAUUAUUGCAUAAAUCUGUUGAAUUACAACCUGUAAUACGUCGAAUCGAUAUAAAUAACUAAUGUAAGAAAAAUAAUUCGAAAUGAUUCUUAUAGAAGCAUUUUAUUAAUUCAUCAGUUUUCUUCUUAACGAUCUCUUUAGUUGGUGUUAGAAGUAAUGAAUAAAUAAAAAAUGAGAUUUCUUUUUUAUGGAUAGGUAAUAACAUGAUUAUCGUUUUAUUUUGAAUAGUAAAAUGUAAAUAUUUACAAUAAUAAAUGACAAAGAUUUUUUUGGACAGAUAUUUUUUUGGAAAUGUAGUUUUUCUUAACUUCCGUCAAUUUACGUGAUUCAAAUUGUGUCCAAAUUCUUGAUUUCGAUAAAUUCAUUUCUAAAUUGAUUGUUCAAAGCGAUGUCGAAUUGAAAGUUCUUCGGUAUAUAUUAUUUAUAGUACGCACACACACACACACAUUAUAUAUGUAAUAUGUGUGUGUAUAUAUAUAUAUAUAUAUAUAUAUAUAUAUAUAUAUAUUUCUAAUAAAUGCUGUUAUUAAAAAUAUUAAAAAUAUAUGUAGAAAAAUAUAGGUCCGGUAAUGAUUAACAUAGAUUGCCAAAAAUACACUGAUGCAUUAAAUAUGCUCUCUGUGAUCUCAUCAGUCAAGUAGUAAUAAAUUUGUUGAAAAUUACUAAAAUUUUAUACUUAUCAAAGGUCAUUUUUCGUUUAUGGUGCGUAAAUUUCACAUCACUGUCAAUAUUUUCUUGCAAUUAAUCCUGUUG